rnacentral:tRNA from 1 species
GUUGUCGUGGCCAAGUGGUUACGGCGAUGGUCUAGAACUUUUUUGGGAUCUACCCGCGCAGGUUCGAAUCCUGCCGACAUCG